CACAGAGUUAGCCGGUGCCUCCUUUGAGGGUACCGUCACCUCCAAAGGCUGUUAACCUCCAGAGCAUUCGUUCCCCCCGACAGAGCUUUACGACCCGAAGGCCUUCAUCACUCACGCGGCGUUGCUGCGUCAGGCUUUCGCCCAUUGCGCAAUAUUCCCCA
rnacentral:rRNA from 1 species